GUAGGUGGCAAGCGUUGUCCGGAAUUAUUGGGCGUAAAGCGCGCGCAGGCGGUUCUUUAAGUCUGAUGUGAAAGCCCACGGCUCAACCGUGGAGGGUCAUUGGAAACUGGAGAACUUGAGUACAGAAGAGGAAAGCGGAAUUCCACGUGUAGCGGUGAAAUGCGUAGAGAUGUGGAGGAACACCAGUGGCGAAGGCGGCUUUCUGGUCUGUAACUGACGCUGAGGCGCGAAAGCGUGGGGAGCAAACAGGGAUUAGAUACCCUGGUAGUCCACGCCGUAAACGAUGAGUGCUAAGUGUUAGGGGGUUUCCGCCCCCUUAGUGCUGCAGCUAAUGCAUUAAGCACUCCGCCUGGGAGUACGGCCGCAAGGCUG
rnacentral:rRNA from 1 species